AUUGAACGCUGGCGGCAGGCCUAACACAUGCAAGUCGAACGCGUGGCGGACGGGUGAUUAAUGUCUGGGAAACUGCCUGAUGGAUGGGGAUAACUACUGGAAACUGUAGCUAAUACCGCAUACCAUCAGAUGUUCCCAGAUGGGAUUAGCUAGGUGGUGUGGUAACGGCUCACCAAGGCGACGAUCCCUAGCUGGUCUGAGCGGAUGACCAGCCACACUGGAACUGAGACACGGUCCAGACUCCUACGGGAGGCAGCAGUGGGGAAUAUUGCACAAUGGGCGCAAGCCUGAUGCAGCCAUGACGCGUGUAUGAAGAAGGCCUUCGGGUUGUAAAGUACUUUCAGCGGGGAGGAGUUACCCGCAGAAGAAGCACCGGAUAACUCCGUGCCAGCAGCCGCGGUAAUAC
rnacentral:rRNA from 1 species